UGCCAGCAGCCGCGGUAAGACAGAGGGUGCUAACGUUGUUCGGAAUUACUGGGCGUAAAGCGCGUGUAGGCUGUUGCGCAAGUCGGGCGUGAAAGCCCUGGGCUCAACCCAGGAAGUGCACCCGAAACUGCGUAACUUGAGUCUCGGAGAGGGAGGCGGAAUUCCCGGUGUAGAGGUGAAAUUCGUAGAUAUCGGGAGGAACACCAGUGGCGAAGGCGGCCACCUGGACGAUGACUGACGCUCAGACCCGAAAGCGUGGGGAGCAAACAGGAUUAGAUA
rnacentral:rRNA from 1 species